rnacentral:rRNA from 1 species
GAUGAACGCUGGCGGCGUGCCUAAUACAUGCAAGUCGAGCGAAUGGAUUAAGAGCUUGCUCUUAUGAAGUUAGCGGCGGACGGGUGAGUAACACGUGGGUAACCUGCCCAUAAGACUGGGAUAACUCCGGGAAACCGGGGCUAAUACCGGAUAACAUUUUGAACCGCAUGGUUCGAAAUUGAAAGGCGGCUUCGGCUGUCACUUAUGGAUGGACCCGCGUGGCAUUAGCUAGGUGGUGAGGUAACGGCUCACCAAGGCAACAAGGCGUAGCCGACCUGAGAGGGUGAUCGGCCACACUGGGACUGAGACACGGCCCAGACUCCUACGGGAGGCAGCAGUAGGGAAUCUUCCGCAAUGGACGAAAGUCUGACGGAGCAACGCCGCGUGAGUGAUGAAGGCUUUCGGGUCGUAAAACUCUGUUGUUAGGGAAGAACAAGUGCUAGUUGAAUAAGCUGGCACCUUGACGGUACCUAACCAGAAAGCCACGGCUAACUACGUGCCAGCAGCCGCGGUAA